GGAUUGUAGUCUGCAACCCGACUACAUGAAGCUGGAAUCGCUAGUAAUCGCGGAUCAGAAUGCCGCGGUGAAUACGUUCCCGGGUCUUGUACACACCGCCCGUCACACCAUGGGAGUCGGAAAUGCCCGAAGUCGGUGACCGAACCGAAAGGAAGGAGCCGCCGAAGGCAGGUCUGGUGACUGGGGUGAAGUCGUAACAAGGUAAC
rnacentral:rRNA from 1 species